UUUUAGUGAUGUGAUGAGCAUUUGGGUGA
rnacentral:piRNA from 1 species